AUGACGGACCUUGUGGUUGGCAUGGCCAAGUCGGUGGUGGAUGGGGCACUGAGCAAGGCCCAGGCGGCCAUGGAGGAGGACAAGAAGCUGCGGCAGAGCGCGCAGCGCAACCUGGUGUUCAUCACCGGGGAAUUCCAAAUGAUGCAAUCAUUUUUGAAUAUCGCUGACAGCGAGCGCCUGAAGAAUCCGGUGGUGAGGACGUGGGUGUUGCAGAUCCGCGAGCUGGCCUACGACGUGGAGGACUGCAUUGAGUUCGUCGUCCACCUCGACAAGAAGAACGGCUGGUGGCUCCGCCUGCUCAAGCCCGCAAACAGGCUCAUCAGGCCUUGCGUGGAUCUGAGUGGGGCGGUCUUGCUCGACGCGGCGGUUGACGAGCUGGAGCAGCUCAAGGCCAGGGUGGAGGACGUGAGCAGCAGGAACGCGCGCUACAGACUCAUCAACAGUGACUCCGGGUCCAAGCCGCCGACUGCCACAGAAGAACCGGCUUCACGUGUUACCGUGGGCGUGACGGCAGUCAACAGGCUCAUCGAGGCAGCCAACACUAACCAAGAGGGGCUAAAUAUCACCCACCUACUCCCCAAGGAAGGCCAUAACCUCCGAGUGAUUUCGAUCUGGGGCACUGGAGGUGGUGAUGUUGGUAUGGCAUCCAUCGCCUGGAAUGCCUUCACUGAUGAAGACACCUGCCAAAACUUCGUUUGUCGUGCCUGGGUGAAACUCAUGCAUCCGAUUGAGCCCCAAGAGUUUGUCCGGUCUUUGACGGCUCAGUUCCACGCAAACUCUUGCACAGAGGACCAAGCAUCAUCCUCUGGUGGUGUAAUAAGGAAGACCCAGGCCACACAAGACCCCCUAAAAGAUUUUGAGCGGCUUCUCACAGAGAAUAGGUACCUCAUUGUGUUGGAGGACCUUUCCACCGUGGCAGAGUGGGCUUCUAUCCAGAGGUUCUUUCCAAAAAAGAAGAAUGGCAGCUGCAUCAUCUUGUCCACGCAGCAAUUCGAGGUUGCAAGCUUGUCUGUGGGACGUCCGUACCAAGUAUUGCAUCUCAACCAGCUAUCAGCUGCUGAGCACUCUGCUUAUGCCUUCUUUACAGAGGGAUCUCAGUGCGAUGGAGAAAAAGGCAUCGCCAGCAAGAACACUGUCAACAACUGUAAAAGGGCAGCAGCCAAGACGUGGAUUGAUAAUCAUCCUCUUGUUGGACGUGAGUUAGAGAUGAAGGAACUUCAUAACAAUGUAAUUAGGACACGAGCCAGAGCCUAUCAAGUUAUGUCUGUGUGGGGAUUUACUGGGGUUGGAAAAUCAGCUCUCGUCAAGAGCAUGUUCUGCGACAAAAUUCAAGUGGUGAAGAACAACCUAUUUCAGAAGUAUGGUUGGGUGGAUGUAUCACAUCCUUUCAGUUUAUGGGACUUCUCUCGAACCUUACUUUCGAAUUUUGGUUCUGAAAAACUUCAAGACACUGAGCAUACAUACUUAUAUUCAAUGGGAAGCACAAAUCCUGUUACACAGUGCCGUGAGAUUCUGAAAAAACAAAAAUGCAUGGUUGUUAUAGAUGGACUGCAGUCCACAAAAGAGUGGGAUCUCAUAAAAACUCAGUUGCUGCCUGAAUCUAAUCGUUGGAAUGUUAUUAUAGUCGUUACAACUGAAAAAGAAAUUGCCAGUCAUUGCCAUGGAGAUAAGGGACACGUGUUGUUUAAUGUCAAAGGUCUAGAUGACGACACAGCCGUUGAACUGUUCGAAAAGGAAUCAAAGAAGUAUAAAGUGGCAGAGGAUAAAGUGGCAGAGAUACGAGAACUUACUUCAAUAUGUGGUGGACUUCCCAAAGUAAUAGUUGAGAUAGCUCGCUCAUUCGCCAAAAACACAGAUCGAUGGAAACUUGCACUUUCUGAGAAUAACAAAUUUAUGUUAGAGCUGGAGAAAAAUGGAGAGUUUCUCAGUCUGAGGAGUCUAUUGGAUUGGAUGAAUUCGUCCUUUCGCAAAUACUCAGAUUCUAUCAAGUCAUGUAUCUUAUAUUUACCAGUUUUCCCGAGAAACCACUUUAUUCGGCGGAGACGACUAGUAAGACGGUGGAUUGCUGAGGGUUACUCCAGGGAUAACCAUGAUGAAUCUGCAGAGACAAUUGGGGAGAAGCAAUUCAAUGACCUCAUUGAUCUGAGAAUAAUCCAACAGCCAUCCAUGUUGGGUUUGGGUGACACAAGGAUGGUGGUUUGCCAAGUCAAUGGCUUCUUUCGUGAGUACAUUGUCUCACACCAAAUGGAAGAGAACCUUGUGUUUGAACUAAGGGGCAGUUGUGCCUUAACCACCCAACGCACAGGGCGUCAUCUUGUGAUAUCAAAAAGCUGGGUCCGAGAUGGAAUUGUUUUUGAGAACAUUGACUUCUCUCGGCUCCGUUCACUAACAGUGUUCGGAACAUGGAAAUCCUUCUUCAUUUCUGAAGGUAUGAAGCUGCUUCGGGUUCUUGAUCUAGAAGAUGCUUCGGAAGUAGAGUAUAAUGAUCUCAAGAAGAUGGUGAAGUUCAUGUGUCGCCUCAAGUUUCUCUCACUGCGAGGACGCCGUGAAAUCAAGCGUCUGCCAAGGUCAAUAGGCGGUCUGAAGCAGCUGGAGAGUCUUGAUGUCAGGAACACUUCCAUAGUCACCCUCCCAAAGAGCAUCAUCAAGUUAGAGAAGCUGCAAUACAUCCGUGCAGGCACCAAGGCGCCCUCAAAGAAAACAGCAACACCACAUCGUUUAGGGUACCAACUGUUCAAUUACUCAAGUGGUUGUCACGCAGUUGGUAUUGUGGUGCCUCCAGGGAUCGGGAAACUGACAGCAUUGCACACGCUUGGUGUCGUCAAUGUCCGUGCUUCAGGGACAAAGGCUGUCCUAGAAGGGCUCAAGAAGCUCACCCACUUGCACAAGCUCGGAGUGUCUGGCAUCAACAAGAGUAACAGUGACAAGUUUUUCCUUGCAAUCUCAGUUUUUGUCCGUCUGGAAUCACUGUCAGUGCAGCUCGAGGAGAACAGCCAAGGUUGUUUGAAUGAUAUAAAACUGCCUUUGAAGGGCCUGCAGAGCCUUAAACUUUAUGGGCUUGGAGACCGGUUGCCAGAAUGGAAAGCACAGCUCACCAUGCUUACAAAGCUGGACUUGGAAAUAGCCAAAUUAACAGAAGAUCGUGUCUCCGUGCAAUUGGAAGGGGUGCAAUCGGAAGGUGUGCAAUCGGAAGGUGUGGCACAGCAAAGACCAAGGGAACAUACUAGUGGCGUCAUCAAGUUCCUAAGCGAGUUGCCACGACUAUGUAUUCUACGUCUUCGUGUCAAUCAUCUUCAGGAUAAUCAGCUCGAUGUGUCUAUCAUUUAUAAUGACCUAGAGGUAGAAUCUUUUGAGAAAUUGAAGAUCUUCGAGAUUGCUUGCAGCUUCAGCAAGGUUACUUUUGGAGAGAAAACAAUGAAAAAACUUGAGCAGCUGAAGGUUGAAUGCUACAGUUGGUCGACUUUCUUGGGCCUGGAGCAUCUAGAUGAACUGAAGGAAGUAUUGCUUAAGGGUCCCAGGGACGAAGAACUGAUGUCUGAAAUCAACACAAAACUUGAGAACCACCCAAAGGUAAAGAAACCUGUUGUGAAGCUGGAGGAACAAACCUCGUCGUCCUGA
rnacentral:rRNA from 1 species